GAUGAAGAACGUAGCGAAAUGCGAUAAGUAAUGUGAAUUGCAGAAUUCAGUGGAUCAUCGAAUCUUUGAACGCACAUUGCGCCCCCUGGUAUUCCGGGGGGCAUGCCUGUUCGAGCGUCAUUACAACCCUCAAGCUCUGCUUGGUAUUGGGCCCCGCCAGUUCUGGCGGGCCCUAAAGUCAGUGGCGGUGCCUUCCGGCUCCGAGCGUAGUAAUUCUUCUCGCUCUGGAGACCCGGUUGUGUGCUUGCCAACAACCCCCAAUUUUUUAAGGUUGACCUCGGAUCAGGUAGGGAUACCCGCUGAACUUAAGCAUAUCAAUAAGCGGAGGA
rnacentral:misc_RNA from 1 species